rnacentral:rRNA from 1 species
UACGUAGGGCGCAAGCGUUGUCCGGAAUUAUUGGGCGUAAAGAGCUCGUAGGCGGCUUGUCACGUCGAUUGUGAAAGCCCGAGGCUUAACCUCGGGUCUGCAGUCGAUACGGGCUAGCUAGAGUGUGGUAGGGGAGAUCGGAAUUCCUGGUGUAGCGGUGAAAUGCGCAGAUAUCAGGAGGAACACCGGUGGCGAAGGCGGAUCUCUGGGCCUUGCCUGACGCUGAGGCGCGAAAGCUAGGGGAGCGAACAGG